UUGCUUCGGCUGCACAUACACUAAAAUUGGAACGAUAUGGUGAAGACUGGCAUGACCCCUGUGCAAGGAUGACACACAUAUUGGUGAAGUGUUCCAGAUUUUA